rnacentral:pre_miRNA from 1 species
GUAUUACUCCCUCCGUUCGGAAUUACUUGUCUCGGAAAUGGAUGUAUCUAGAACUAAAAUACAUCUAGAUACAUCCAUUUCUGCGACAAGUAAUUCCGAACGGAGGGAGUACAUA